CAAGAACCCAUUCUCUCCCUCACCGCCUCCACUCUUCUGAAAGAUUAAUCAAAUCCCUUUCUCUCUCCUCUUCUUCUCUCUCUAGAACCAGCCAAAAUCUCUCUGUUUCUAGUUUGAAUUGCUGUGAUUAGACUGUGUUUUUCGUUUGUUUUUUCAUAAAUUUCAAACUGGCGAUCGAGAACCACGAUACGACUGUUCGUGAAAUCAAGCCCAAGAGCAGAAGAAUCAUGGGUCCUGACGAUGAAGACAACCGAUGGCCGCCAUGGCUAAAACCUCUACUAAGAGAAAGCUUCUUCGUUCAAUGCAAGCACCACAUAGAUUCCCACAAAAGUGAAUGCAAUAUGUACUGUUUAGAUUGUAUGAACGGCGCUCUCUGUUCUCUUUGCCUCAACUUUCACAAAGAUCAUCGCGCCAUUCAGAUUCGUAGGUCUUCUUACCAUGAUGUUAUCAGAGUUUCUGAGAUUCAAAAAGUUUUGGACAUUUCUGGCGUCCAAACUUACAUAAUCAACAGCGCUAGAGUCGUGUUCUUGAAUGAAAGGCCUCAGCCUCGGCCUGGCAAAGGCGUUACAAAUACUUGUGAAGUCUGUGAACGCAGCCUCCUCGAUUCCUUCCGAUUUUGCUCCCUUGGUUGCAAGAUUGUCGGAACCUCAAGGAGUUUCCAGAAGAAGAGGGUGGCAGCGGCAGCAACCGCAAUGGCAACCUCCGACUCGGAGGAUUCUUAUAGCAGCAGCAGCAACCAUAAGCGAAGCAAGAGCAACAACAGCAAUAACAAUAGCAAUAAUAAGGUUCAAAGUUUUAGUCCUUCAACACCGCCCCCGACGUCGGUUAAUUACAGGACGGCGAAGCGGAGGAAGGGGAUUCCUCAUCGAGCUCCGAUGGGAGGUCUAGUUUUAGAAUAUUAGGCCUGUGUUUUCACUUAAUUAUCAUAAGACCCUUGAAAUGUAAUGUAAUUUCCACGUUGCUCUUCCCUCCAAUGCCUUGAGCUUUGUAAAAGAGGCCGGUGUUGGAGGUCUUACUUUUAGCUUUGUACAUAGAAGAAGCAUAGAUGUGGGGUAAGAAAAAAAAUAAUAAUAAGCCAAAUGUGAAAAAAUGGUGAACCUUAGAGGACUAAAAGGAAAAAUAAGUUUGGUAGGUUUGAGUAAUUUUAUAAAUAGGUUGGGGUUAUAGUGAAAUUAUACUAAGUUUUGGGUCGAAGUUGUAAAUAGUGGGUGGGAAUUUUCUCUUUUUUUAUGCUUCUUAGAAGUGGUGAUGAAGAUACAAUGCCUUGGAAUAAUGGAAUUUGGAGAAUGG
rnacentral:misc_RNA from 1 species